rnacentral:tRNA from 1 species
UCCCUUGUAGCUCAGUUAGUAAAGAAUCUGCCUGCAAUGCAGGAGACCCAGGUUCAAUUCUUGGGUUGGGAA